UACGUAGGUGACCAGCGUUGUCCGGAUUUACUGGGCGUAAAGAGCGCGCAGGCGGUCGUUCAAGUCGAGUGUGAAAGCCCCCGGCUCAACUGGGGAGGGUCAUUCGAUACUGAUCGACUGGAAGGCAGGAGAGGGAAGCGGAAUUCCCGGUGUAGUGGUGAAAUGCGUAGAUAUCGGGAGGAACACCAGUGGCGAAGGCGGCUUCCUGGCCUGUUCUUGGCGCUGAGGCGCGAAAGCUAGGGGAGCAAACGGG
rnacentral:rRNA from 1 species